rnacentral:rRNA from 1 species
AUUGAACGCUGGCGGCAGGCCUAACACAUGCAAGUCGAACGAGUGGCGGACGGGUGAGUAAUGUCUGGGAAACUGCCUGAUGGAGGGGGAUAACUACUGGAAACGGUAGCUAAUACCGCAUACUAUCGUAUGAACCCAUGUGGGAUUAGCUAGUGGGUGGGGUAAUGGCUCACCUAGGCGACGAUCCCUAGCUGGUCUGAGAGGAUGAUCAGCCACACUGGGACUGAGACACGGCCCAGACUCCUACGGGAGGCAGCAGUGGGGAAUUUUGGACAAUGGGGGAAAGCCUGAUCCAGCCAUCCCGCGUGUAUGAUGAAGGCCUUCGGGUUGUAAAGUACUUUUGGCAGAGAAGCGGUAUCUGAAGAAUAAGCCCCGGCUAACUACGUGCCAGCCGCCGCGGUAAUAC